UCCUGAUGGCUCACAUGAAGUUUCGUGCCGUUCCGACCUCGUUUGAUACGGUUAUGGUUAACCACACGGCCCCUCGGGCCCGACCCGAGCCCAGUCAACGUUUUGACCCGAUCAAAUCGGCCCGUGACCCGAAACGACCCUACUUGGGCCCUACAACAGCCACGUAAAGUUUCGGGAUGAUCCGACGUUCUUUCAUGGGGUUACGGACAAUCCACGCCAAACAAGCGUCACGGGCCGACCGAGCCGGGCCAACGGGCCCUCGGGACCCGAAAACUGAAUUUUUUUUCAUCCAAACCCAUUAAAACACGUUACCGAGGUCUCACGCAAAAUUUCAUGCCAAUCCGACGUCGUUUGAUGGGGUUUUGAGAUAUUAUGAUUCCUCAAAAAUUUAAUGUCUGUUCCUGUCACUUAGCUUUUUGUGCAAAAUGUAUAUAUAGGGGAGGGGUGGGUGUUGAGCAGCCCAUGCCCGGGCAAGGCAUGCCAGCGCCCAAGCCAAAGGAGGCUGGUGGCGUGCGUAUAACAGCUCAAAUGCCCCAACGAUGACCGAGAACAAGCGCCCAUCUCCCCUCCUUCCCCCCCACCAAGCGCCCCUCCCCCCCCAUGUUGCCUGCCCACUCGCACAGCUACUCGUGAUUUCAUGCCCAGCGACUAGUGAAUGUGCCUCGACGACCAGCAAACCUCGAAAAUUAUGAUUCCUCGUAAAAUUAAUGUCUGUUCCUGUCACUUUACUUUUUGUGCAAAAUGUAUAUAUAGGGGAGACCAGGGGCUUGAGCAACCCCUGUGCCCAAGCAAGGGUCAUUUGGAAGCAUACGAGACGCGAGGUUUAAAGCCUAUACAAGCAAGGCGUCUGUCUCCCCAAGCCCCAUUGCCUAUAAAACAAGCCCGAUGCCUUGUAAAUGCCCCACACGAUGCCUAUAAACGACAACGAUGUUUGCUAGUUAAUCGAUCGACGCCCCACACCUUGCAGCAUGUUGCCUAGUAAACAAGCCAUGCUGCCUUGGAAGCGCCCCACAUCAUGGCAUGUUGCCUAGCACGCUGCCCUUGUUUCCAGCACGGCGACCUGAAAGCGUGGCCUGACGACGUGCUUGCCUUCGAAAAUUAUGAUUCCUCAAAAAAUUAAUGUCUGUUCCUGUCACUUUACUUUUUGU
rnacentral:rRNA from 1 species